rnacentral:rRNA from 1 species
GUUUGAUCCUGGCUCAGGAUGAACGCUGGCGGCGUGCCUAAUACAUGCAAGUCGAGCGAAUGGAUUAAGAGCUUGCUCUUAUGAAGUUAGCGGCGGACGGGUGAGUAACACGUGGGUAACCUGCCCAUAAGACUGGGAUAACUCCGGGAAACCGGGGCUAAUACCGGAUAACAUUUUGAACUGCAUGGUUCGAAAUUGAAAGGCGGCUUCGGCUGUCACUUAUGGAUGGACCCGCGUCGC